rnacentral:rRNA from 1 species
CCUACGGGAGGCAGCAGUGGGGAAUAUUGCACAAUGGGGGCAACCCUGAUGCAGCGACGCCGCGUGAGUGAAGAAGUCAUUCGUGAUGUAAAGCUCUAUCAGCGGGGAAGAAAAUGACGGUACCUGAGUAAGAAGCCACGGCUAACUACGUGCCAGCAGCCGCGGUAAUACGUAGGGGGCAAGCGUUAUCCGGAUUUACUGGGUGUAAAGGGAGCGUAGACGGCGGGGCAAGUCUGGAGUGAAAGCCGGGGGCUCAACCACCGGACUGCUCUGGAAACUGUACGGCUGGAGUGCAGGAGAGGUAAGUGGAAUUCCUGGUGUAGCGGUGAAAUGCGUAGAUAUCAGGAGGAACACCAGUGGCGAAGGCGGCUUCCUGGACUGUAACUGACGUUGAGGCUCGAAAGCGUGGGGAGCAAACAGGAUUAGAUACCCUAGUAGUC